rnacentral:tRNA from 1 species
UCCCUGAUAUCUCAGUUGGUAAAGAAUCUGCCUGCAAUGCAGGAGACCUGGGUUUGAUCCCUAGGUUGGGCA